UUACGGCCACAUCACGUUGAAACAUCGGUUCCGGUUCGAUCAGCGAAGUUAAGCUUUGUAUAUCCUGAUCAGUAUUUCAGUGGGUAACCGCUUAGGAAUAGCAGGCGUUGUAAG